GCCUUUCCACGUUGCACAAGCCCAGCGCACGGUACCCACUGGAUAUGCCCGAGGCCUCCAGAGGAAAGGAAAGGAGGAAAAGGGACAGAAGAAAUGUUCACAGGAACUGCAUAUGGGCCUGCUACUUGUGUCAAAAUGUGACUGAACUCUCUUCCAGCAGUGUGAAUCCCUGGAAGGCAAGAUCGCCAUUCUGGUCUCUUGUGGAUAUCAAUGCUGAUCUCAGCUUCUGAUGCACGGCAGUCAAUUAAUAAAUGAUUGUUGCCUGAAAAACUGAGCCCCAAAACAAUAUUACAAGUUUAAUAUCAGUAAAGGAUUUAAUGCUUUCUAACAUGAAGAUACCAGAAGUUGCUGAUUUUUGUAUAACCCAGAGAUGGAUUUAAAUGCAGAGUGUAUGAACUUCUUCAUUCCUGAGGGAGGACUUAUGAUUUCAUGAGAAAUGCCCUAGGAAAGGGGCCGGGGAGACUGAUGGAGAAGAAGAGUUUGGGAGGGAAGCCCCAAGGACCAUCUGCCCCAUCAGAGUCACAUGCAGAGGGUCCUGCUCCUGCCGUUGGAAGUUGGCUUCCUGAGCUGCUGAACGUGCCAGUCCUGCUGACCCACUCUCAGAUAUCACAGGCACCCGCUGUGUCUGACAGAGACCUUUCUGCAAGUACACGUGCAGGUCUGCUCUGCAAAGGCGUUAUCAUCUGCAGAUUAUUGCACAGAGUGGCUACGAGCUGUGGUGUGAUCCUGUCACAGAGAGAGCCUGGUCACGUUUUCAGAACAGCAGGAAACAGGUACACCUGUAAGCUUAUACUUAUCAGAUUUAAAAAUAAAACAAAAAAUCCAUGCUAUUCCAUGAAAAUCGGACUCAAAUAAACUUAGUCACUGAUCUGUGAAGUAAAUAAUCUGAUGGUAAUGCAUCAGUUGACACUUGGGCCUGGGUUUUUAGGCACUAAUGAAAGCCAGGGGCAAAAUAAUUUUUAAUCUACCAUUAUUUCCCUUGAUGGUUCGACAAAAGUUCUUGUACUAGAAAGUUUUAUAAAACUACUUUCUGAGUGUCCUGUGACAUUUCUCUGAUGAUAUAAAAAGUCAAUAUUUGAUAGCUUAAAUAUCAAUAUUGACAGAAAUAUGAUUAUUUAAAUAAAAACACAAAUAGUAAAAUAAUUUUAUAUGAUA
rnacentral:lncRNA from 1 species